CAAGGGGCGGGGCCUGUGCCCGCGCAGCUCUCACCGCGGUCCCCUUAUUUGGAUCUGCGGGAAUGUGGGCUGGAGCGGUCCUGCAGCGGUACCAGCCUCCAGCCUGUCGCCGGGACUGCCCCUGACCCAGGCGCGCCCGCUGCUCGGUGGCAGGAGGGCCGGCGGAGCGCCAUGGCCUGCAUCCUGAAGUUUUCCUUGCCAGCCAUCACCUGCCAAUUGGUUCUUGUCUAUGGAAGUGUUCUGAGUUGGAAAAUGAGGGAACCAGCUCUGACCUGCAUUUUACAGCAGCUGUCUGCUGCACUCUUCAGCAUCAAGCACGAGGAAGACGCUGGUGGCCUCUCACUGUGCUUCUGGACUGUGUUUGCACUGCGUCUGCACUGAAUCCCACCAAGUUGCUCACAGCUUUGACAAGGUUUGAGGAUUUGACAAUGUUUAGGUCUGGAUACAGCAGAAUGAUGAAACAGUGAGUGCUGGUGAUCAGAAUAUGAGUGGUGGUUUGGGACUCAGCUUCACACUGAACCCCUUUCAACUUGCAGUGCAAGGCUCUGUGGUCCAUCUGGAAGGAACCAUAAAGCAUCUUUUGUCAUCUUGUUUCAGUACCUAGAAUAAAUUCAGAAGAUCAGAAGUGGGUUUCUCUGUACAAAAAAGCAUGUGUUUCCCAUCAGCAGACAGCAGACUCCUUUGUAGCUGGAUUCAGAAUCUUCGUUGUGGACUGCUCCUGGCAUUAUCUCAGCUUUUGCAGGUCUGGGGGUGACUCCUUUUCACUUCUAUGUCUUCUCCUUAACAGCAAGAUCUGCUUCAUCCUGAUAUAUUUUUAAGUACCAGUCAGGGUGUGACUUGUUCCCUUGCUGAGGUGUUCACUGAUGCCCAGCACCCCAGCCUCUUACUUUAAUUCCCAGUUUCUGUGUUAGAGUCUUAUUUAGAUAGAUGGAACCAAUUGAGUGGGCCCUGCUGAAGAGCCAUAUUCAGUUACUGUAAAUCUUCCUCCUGGUGUUGCAGACAGUGAGGUCUCCUGGGAUUUUGUUGGGAAAUCUUAUUGGAUUUGCAAGACUUAAGAUAAUAUAGAAACCCUCCUCAAAUAGUAAAGGGCCUCAUUUCUUUGCCUUGAAAGAUGUUUUCAGAGUCUGUCUCAAGAGUCUUGCUGAUAAGGAAGUUACUUCUAAUAUUUCAAGAAAAACAGAACACACAAAGCCUUCUAUUUUCUUAGUGCUUUGCCUCUCCAUGCCCUUAUAUCUCUUUAACAUCAUUUUUAUGCUUUUCCUCUACAUUUCUUUCCCUCUUUCUCUCACUCACUCUUUAACCUUAGGCCCGUGUUUCAAAUGGACUUAAUUACUAACCAUGAAACUUGGUAAUGAUGCCCUUAGGGGAAAAGUCUUUCUUCUUUCAUUUUCCCCGACUUUGGCGAGCAGGGAAUGUCUCUUACAGACAUAAGUGAAUACGUUUCAUGAUAAAGUAUGUUUUUUCCUAAUCAAGUGAGCAUCUCCUUGCUCAUAUAAAGGGUACAGUUCUGUUGCUCUGAGAAGCAGCAUCUAACAGAAGAAAGAAUGUUAGCCUUGGAGUCAGAACCAUGUUAGAAACCCUGCUCCAUCUUUAUUUUGAGCACAUUAUAUCACUGCUCUGCAUGUCCAUUAAUUUGUCUGUAAUACGGGGAUAAUAAUAUCUACUAUGCCAUGUUCACAGUUAGGAACAGUAUGCAUACCACUAAUAAGUACCUGGCAUAUAGUGGACAUUCAAAUGGUAGUUGUAAACAACUCCAGCCAGGAUCUUUGAUAAAUGUCUUCUUUCAGACUUCCUGAGUCCAGGAGCCUUUGUAACCUUCAUGCCUUCAGUAAACUAUAUCUUGUGUUUCAAAAACUCAAAGACUGAAACUCUGGUUAAAACAAAAUCCAGAGUUUCCCAGGUCUUCAGUGAUGUUUUUAAAAGGAAAGUUUUGAGGCAGGAAAUAAGAUUUUUGGAAUCAUCUUUAAGAUUUUUGUGUGCUUAUGGUAAUUAGCUUCAUAAAAUGCAUGUCCUCAAAGAUGUGGGUGGAUGUGUAAACAAGGAAGCUGGUGUUACAGGAACCCAUGCAUCAUGGAAGGCCCAAACAACUCCCUCUGAGGAAGAAUGUCCUUGGGAGUUGGGCUUUAAUCAACAUGAGAAGCCAUCAUGUGUGCCCCAGGCCAUUAGUAAUAUUUCUGUUGGCGGCAGAGUGAUACUGUAUCUGCUUGGCUAAAAAAUAUGAAUUUUCUGGUCUCUUAAUAACAGAUGGUGGUGAAGGGGUACAUAGUAUCUGUUAUGAUACUGCGUGUUUGUAUGCCCUCCAAAGUUCAUAUGCUGAAACCCUAGUCUUCAGUCUGAUGGUAUGUGGGCAUGGAGCCUUUGGGAAGUAAUGAGAUCACGAGGGUAGAACCUUCGUGAUUAGACUGGUACCCUCAUAAGAAGAGACGGGGAGACCGUGCUUCCCCUCUGUCUGUCUCUCUUUCUGUCUUUAUCUCUCUGUCUCUCUCUGUCCUUUGCCUCUGUCCUCAUCCCUGUUUCUGUCUGUCUCUCUCCUUUUUCUCUUGGCCAUGUGAGGAUCCAUCCAGAAAGUGGCUCUCUAUACACCAGACAAUGGAUCUGCAGUACCUUGAUCUUGGAUUUUCCAACCUCCCAAACUGUGAGAAAUAAAUGUUUAUUUAAACCACCAGUCUAUAUUAUUUUUUUUAGCAGCCCAAACCGACUAAGACAGCAGUGAAAGGGGCUGUGGCAAGUAGUAUGUUAUUCAAAUAAAGUAUGUAGACUUUAAUGCAAAUCAGAAAUGGAAAUAAAGUCAAGAGUCUGUAUUUAUUUAUAAUAAACUUUGUGUGUUAAGUGGGCUUUUCUGUUCUCAUAUUUUACUAUGUGUUGAAAUAAUAAACAUUUAUGAUAUUCUUCUGGCUUGUAGUGUUUUCAUCAUUUUAUGUGGAUUAUCUUAUUUAUUCUUCACCAUGGUGCUGAGGAAGGUAUUAAUAUUUUCAGUAGCAUCAAGAGGUUAGAAUAAAGAUUCCACAAGGGCACUUGGUAAUGUGUUGGUGG
ensembl:lincRNA